GUUAGGAAUAUUGGACAAUGGGCGAAAGCCUGAUCCAGCCAUGCCGCGUGAACGAUGAAGGCCUUCGGGUUGUAAAGUUCUUUAGCCGAUGAUUAUAAUGACUGUAGUCGGAAAAUAAGCCCCGGCUAACUUCGUGCCAGCAGCCGCGGUAAUACGAAGGGGGCGAGCGUUAUUCGGAAUCACUGGGCGUAAAGCGUGCGUAGGCGGUUUUGUAAGUUAGGAGUGAAAGCCCAGGGCUCCACCUUGGAAUUGCUCUUAAAACUGCAAGGCUCGAAUCUCGGAGAGGAUAGCGGAAUUUCCAGUGUAGCAGUGUAAUGCGUAGAUAUUGGAAGGAACACCAGUGGCGUAAGCGGCUAUCUGGACGAGUAUUGACGCUGAGGCACGAAAGCGUGGGGAUCAAACAGGAUUAGAUACCCCGGUAGUCC
rnacentral:rRNA from 1 species